rnacentral:lncRNA from 1 species
AGGGACGGAAUUCCCUAACCCAAACCCUAACCCUAAACCCUUCAAAAUAAAUCGCGCUCUCUGUAUGUCUUUGGCUUUAAUGACGUCCUUUCCCUCCAACACUUUUUACGAAAAAAAACGAUAUUUAGUACUCGUACCGUAAGUUCGCCGGCAUUUGUAGAAAAUUUCAUGAGAAAAUAUCCUUUUAUCUAAAAGUUAUGAUGAAACAAAGUAUAAGGGUCACACAUGGACUUCCAAAAAAAAGGAGGAGUUUGGGUGAAGAAUUAUUAACAGUGGUUAUUGCUUGGAAUGUGGCACAGUUGAACACAAAAGACUUGGUUUUUGAAAAUUUGGACAUUGCCAAGAUGCAUUGUAGAUAUAAUCGAACCGUGGCAAUGGGUGUGUACGAAUUGCUUUUGUGGAACUUUUUUUGCUCCUGGACUCUAACCUACAAUAGUUUUAAGAAUUGAACUUUUUAGACGUACUCUUGUG